rnacentral:lncRNA from 1 species
UGAAAUGUGCAAAAACCAACCGACGACCGACUGAAAUGUCGCAGUCAUGACUCAUGGAGCGUUGUGCCAGGACCAGAUGUUAAUAUGUUAUCCAGAUCGACCAGGCUAAAUUAAACAACCAUACUCACUAACUAACCUACGACUCGGCACAAAUCUGUUGAUCGCGUGCAGAGACGGAUACGGCAGCUUCCGCUCCAAUCUAUCAACCCUCUUGAUUUCAUCUGUUUUUCAACAAGAACACGGGGUUCCCAUGCCAAGCAUCGAUCGAUGAUAGCAGGAACAUUUUCACACACACAUGGGCGCUUGAUUUACAAAAAUCAAAUCAAGGAUGAUUGAUUAAUUUUGGUUUUCACAGCAGGAGGUGAGUUUUCACUUUUGAGAGCAGGAGGUCGCCGAGGGCGAGGCCGACGCACACCGCCAGCGCGACCCACCAUGCGGCGGCCACCCGGUGCCCCGCGCCAUCCUCCUCCUCGGGCUCCGCGCCGGCGGCUCCUCCUCCAGCCCUGAGCGCGGAGUUCUCGGCCUCCAGCAUCAUCACCCACCGUUGGUGCGCCGAGAGCGCCACCGAGUCCCGCACGAGCAGUGCCACGAUACCUCCGCUGCUGGCGGCCGCGGCGGCCAGCUUCUCCUCCGC